rnacentral:rRNA from 1 species
CCCAGACUCACGGGAGGCAGCAGUGGGGAAUAUUGCACAAUGGGGGAAACCCUGAUGCAGCGACGCCGCGUGAGUGAAGAAGUAUUUCGGUAUGUAAAGCUCUAUCAGCAGGGAAGAAAAUGACGGUACCUGACUAAGAAGCCCCGGCUAACUACGUGCCAGCAGCCGCGGUAAUACGUAGGGGGCAAGCGUUAUCCGGAUUUACUGGGUGUAAAGGGAGCGUAGACGGCAUGGCAAGUCAGAUGUGAAAGCCCGGGGCUCAACCCCGGGACUGCAUUUGAAACUGUCAGGCUGGAGUGCAGGAGAGGUAAGUGGAAUUCCUAGUGUAGCGGUGAAAUGCGUAGAUAUUAGGAGGAACACCAGUGGCGAAGGCGGCUUACUGGACUGUAACUGACGUUGAGGCUCGAAAGCGUGGGGAGCAAACAGGAUUAGAUACCCCAGUAU